rnacentral:rRNA from 1 species
UGGGGAAUUUUGGACAAUGGGCGAAAGCCUGAUCCAGCAAUGCCGCGUGUGUGAAGAAGGCCUUCGGGUUGUAAAGCACUUUUGUCCGGAAAGAAAUCCUUGGCUCUAAUACAGUCGGGGGAUGACGGUACCGGAAGAAUAAGCACCGGCUAACUACGUGCCAGCAGCCGCGGUAAUACGUAGGGUGCAAGCGUUAAUCGGAAUUACUGGGCGUAAAGCGUGCGCAGGCGGUUUGCUAAGACCGAUGUGAAAUCCCCGGGCUCAACCUGGGAACUGCAUUGGUGACUGGCAGGCUAGAGUAUGGCAGAGGGGGGUAGAAUUCCACGUGUAGCAGUGAAAUGCGUAGAGAUGUGGAGGAAUACCGAUGGCGAAGGCAGCCCCCUGGGCCAAUACUGACGCUCAUGCACGAAAGCGUGGGGAGCAAACAGGAUUAGAUACCCUGGUAGUCCACGCCCUAAACGAUGUCAACUAGUUGUUGGGGAUUCAUUUCCUUAGUAACGUAGCUAACGCGUGAAGUUGACCGCCUGGGGAGUACGGUCGCAAGAUUAAACUCAAU